rnacentral:rRNA from 1 species
UACGAAGGGGGCUAGCGUUGCUCGGAAUCACUGGGCGUAAAGCGCACGUAGGCGGAUCUUUUAAGUCAGGGGGUGAAAUCCCGAGGCUCAACCUCGGGAACUGCCCUUGAUACUGCUGAGCUUGAGUCCGGAAGAGGCGAGUGGAAUUCCCGGUGUAGCGGUGAAAUGCGCAGAUAUCGGGGAGGAACACCAAUGGCGAAGGCAGCUCGCUGGGACGUGACUGACGCUGAGACGCGAAAAGCGUGGGGGAGCAAACAGG